UCCCUGGUGGCUCAAAUGGUAAAGAAUCUGCUUGCAAUGCAGGAGACACAGAUUCAAUCCCUGGCUUGGGAA
rnacentral:tRNA from 1 species